GAUGAACGCUAGCGACAGGCUUAACACAUGCAAGUCGAACGGAGUUGUGAUGAAACCUAGUGAUUCACAACUUAGUGGCGGACGGGUGAGUAACGCGUGGGUAACCUGCCUUAUACAGGGGGAUAACACUUAGAAAUAGGUGCUAAUACCGCAUAAGCGCACAGUAUCGCAUGAUACAGUGUGAAAAACUCCGGUGGUAUAAGAUGGACCCGCGUCUGAUUAGCUAGUUGGUGAGGUAACGGCUCACCAAGGCGACGAUCGGUAGCCGGACUGAGAGGUCGAACGGCCACAUUGGAACUGAGAAACGGUCCAGACUCCUACGGGAGGCAGCAGUGGGGAAUAUUGGGCAACGGGCGAAAGCCUGACCCAGCGACGCCGCGUGAGGGAAGAAGGUCUUCGGAUUGUAAACCUUAGUCAACAGGGAAGAAGCAAGUGACGGUACCUGUGGAGGAAGCCACGGCUAACUACGUG
rnacentral:rRNA from 1 species